rnacentral:rRNA from 1 species
AGCUUCAGUAGCGUAUAUUAAAGUUGUUGCGUUUAAAAAGCUCGUAGUUGGUUGUUCGCUCGGCAGAGGUCAGCACCUGUGCAGACCUGUGUUGGGUGGUCUUAGGCGUUCGCGCCUGUUUCACCGUGAGAAAACUAGUGUGAUCCAAACAGGUUGUGCUUGAAUGUUUCAGCACGGAAUGGGUCGUUGGCUACUGCGUUGGUGGCUUCGGUUGCUUUCGCAGCAGUAAUCGUUAAGAGGGACAGCUGGUGGAUCUCGUAUUGAGUUGCUAGAGGUGAAAUUCUUGGAUCAACUCACGACGAGCUGACGCGAAAGCCUUUUCCACAUGCGUUCCUU